GUAUGAGGGAGACCUGUCUGGGACAUCUGUCACCCCAUUUUUUGCCAAGAUGAUCUAACUGGUAUGUGUGGCAGCUGUCUCCUUUCUCUAUCCCUGAUCCACAUACAUUUUUCCUGAAGCUGCACCCUGGGUUGAAAACUUUCUGCAACAGAAGAAUAAUUAUAUUCUCUUGCUAGGUCCUCCAAACAAGUCUCAAUUAAAAAAAAUGGAAACAUCAUUAAUACAUGACUAUAA
ensembl:misc_RNA predicted gene, 25339